ACUCUAUCAAAAGCAGACAAGAAAGGCCAAUGAGAGAAGCGUCUUACUGGGCCUAAUGCUUCGACCUCCCAAUAAGGAGGUCUUCUUGCCUCAGUCUCCUGGGAUUAAAGGCAUGUACUACCUUGCCUGGGCCCAAGCUUUUCAUGGCCACUGUGCCUCAAGAUCUCCAUGUCAAGAUCCAGGUCAGAAACUUGUGUCUUCCAGCCUCAAGAUCUGGAUCACAGUUCAUUCCAGAUAUCGUCAAGCUGACAAGGAAUAGCCAUCACAGUCCUCCUACCUCUGCUUCUCGAAUGGCGUGGGAUUCCAGAGAGCCGUGGUGGUCCUCUCUGGGUGGACUGAGGAGCCUCUGUAGGUAGGAUGUUCCUGUGGGUGGAACUCUCCAGGAUCCACCACUCAGACCCUGAAGCAGAUGGGCCCCCUGCGUGUAAAGUUGGCACAUGAUGUUCCCAAGGGCAACCCAAGGCUGGGUGGGACCUGUGUGGCCAGGGAAGGGAGCCUCAGUACACCAGGUAAAUACUUCCCUACGCCCCAAAUCCUCAAAGGAAUUCUUUGUUUCUGCACUCCUGUGUUGACUUAGCUGAGGAAUGCAGGGUGUCGCAGAGAAAUGCUCACUGGCUUGUUUUUUUGUGGCUUGCUCAAUUUUCUUAUAUAAUUGGCUGGACCCUCCCACCUCAAUCAUCAAUCAAGGUGUUCAUACAUAUUAAAAAAAAAAAAACUAAGGGACCUCCCAGGUAGUCUCAGAAUAAUUAACCACCCACAGAACAGCACUAGGCAGAUCUCCCCUCCUGUCUUCUCAGAGUCUGUCUCUGCUUUGGUCCCUGAGUGAUGACUAGCUUGUGAAGCCUAGUUCCAUUCACGAGUCACAAAGCAUUGCUUCUCCUGUUCCCUAUUCCAGACUCAGUAUCCUUCACUUUGUAUAGAAGGCGGAGCUGAUAGCAGAAGUCCUUGGAGAGGAGGGCUAGUGAGGUGACUCAGCAGGUGAAGAUGCUGGCUGCCCUACCAAACUACUAGUCCGUGUGGGACUGUCCUCGGGGCGAUGCGGAAGUGCCUGCACUGCCGGAGGCGCUAGCUGAUGGAGGCCAACACCAAAGAAUGACCAUCAUCUCCCCCACCAACGCUGGCGAACCUUUCUCUUUUCUCCUGGGUAAUAAUACUGUGUCCCAGGCUUGCUCAGCGGGUGGCCAUAGGAGUCUGGGAGACCCGGUCCAGUGGACAGGGUUUUGGGGUUCCGCUUAGAGUUGCUUCAGUCUAUAGAAAGCUGAGCCGGGCUCUGCCUCUUCUAUCGCAUGACCCCCACCCGGUGGUGGUGUCCCCAAGAGGAGAUCACCCGGAUUCCCCCCACCCCCUUCUACCUCUGCGCAGAGGGAACGCUGCUACUUUCGGAGUUGUACUCCUUGGUCCGGGAUAUUCCUAGACCCUGCGCCUGAGGGGCUGGGAGCGCAGCGCUUUGUUAUUCAGCCGGAAAGAUGCCCCAAGAAUUAAAAGACUUUAUAAAAUG
rnacentral:lncRNA from 1 species